ensembl:snRNA U6 U6 spliceosomal RNA
GUGCUUGCUUUGGCAGCACAUAUACUAAAAUUGGAAUAAAACAGAGAUUAGCACAGCCUCUGUGCAAAGAUGACAUGCAAAUUCAUGAAGUGUUUCAUUAAGAA